CACUGGGAUAACCCUGGGAAACCGGGGCUAAUACCGGAUACGNCCACGGCGGACAUCCGCUGUGGUGGAAAGCGUUAGUGGCUGAGGAUGGGCCCGCGGCCUAUCAGCUUGUUGGUGGGGUAACGGCCUACCAAGGCGACGACGGGUAGUCGGCCUGAGAGGGCGACCGGCCACACUGGGACUGAGACACGGCCCAGACUCCUACGGGAGGCAGCAGUGGGGAAUAUUGCGCAAUGGGCGAAAGCCUGACGCAGCGACGCCGCGUGAGGGACGAAGGCCUUCGGGUUGUAGACCUCUUUCAGCAGGGACGAAGCGAAAGUGACGGUACCUGCAGAAGAAGCACCGGCCAACUACGUGCCAGCAGCCGCGGUAAUACGUAGGGUGCAAGCGUUGUCCGGAAUUAUUGGGCGUAAAGAGCUCGUAGGCGGUCUGUCGCGUCGGCUGUGAAAACCCGGGGCUCAACCCCGGGCCUGCAGUCGAUACGGGCAGACUAGAGUUCGGCAGGGGAGACUGGAAUUCCUGGUGUAGCGGUGAAAUGCGCAGAUAUCAGGAGGAACACCGGUGGCGAAGGCGGGUCUCUGGGCCGAUACUGACGCUGAGGAGCGAAAGCGUGGGGAGCGAACAGGAUUAGAUACCCUGGUAGUCCACGCCGUAAACGUUGGGCGCUAGGUGUGGGACCCUUUCCACGGGUUCCGUGCCGUAGCUAACGCAUUAAGCGCCCCGCCUGGGGAGUACGGCCGCAAGGCUAAAACUCAAAGGAAUUGACGGAAUCGA
rnacentral:rRNA from 1 species